UCAAGUGUAGUAUCUGUUCUUAUCAGUUUAAUAUCUGAUACGUGGGCCAAUGGCCCACACGAUAUUAAAUUAAUUUCUUUAAGGGGAGGGUCCACCACAGUAGCUUGCUACUGGGUCUCUCGCGUGUCGCCCAAGUGUUGCACUACAGCAUGGGCCUGGCGCACCCUAACAAAGUUAGUUGAAAUUUUUCCUUACUUAUUUU
rnacentral:snRNA from 1 species